AGUAACGCAAUGAACAAGAGGCGUGAAAGUUGGGUUUUCAGCGAGUCGACGGGUGGUGUGAGUCGAUAAGCCAAUUUUCAUGUGUAGCUUGUGAGCUGUCAUCCUGAAUGCAGUAAGGCUGACCGGCACCGUCCGUUAUCGGUUUUAAGUGGAGAAAUUUUUUUCUCAAUUUAGGUGGCACCGCGAGUCAACUCGUCCUAAUU
rnacentral:ncRNA from 1 species